rnacentral:rRNA from 1 species
CCUACGGGAGGCAGCAGUGGGGGAUAUUGCACAAUGGGGGAAACCCUGAUGCAGCAACGCCGCGUGAGUGAAGAAGGUCUUCGGAUUGUAAAGCUCUGUUCUUGGUGAAGAUAAUGACGGUAGCCAAGGAGAAAGCUCCGGCUAACUACGUGCCAGCAGCCGCGGUAAUACGUAGGGAGCGAGCGUUGUCCGGAUUUACUGGGUGUAAAGGGUGCGCAGGCGGCUCUGCAAGUCAGGCGUGAAAGCUAGGGGCUCAACCCCUAAAUUGCGCUUGAAACUGUGGAGCUUGAGUGAAGUAGAGGCAGGCGGAAUUCCCGGUGUAGCGGUGAAAUGCGUAGAGAUCGGGAGGAACACCAGUGGCGAAGGCAGCAUACCGGCGCCCAACUGACGCUGAAGCACGAAAGCGUGGGUAUCGAACAGGAUUAGAUACCCCAGUAGUC